rnacentral:rRNA from 1 species
UACGGGGGGUGCGAGCGUUGCUCGGAAUUAUUGGGCGUAAAGCGUACGCAGGCGGCUCGAUUAGUCGAGUGUGAAAUCCCGGGGCUCAACCCCGGACUGGCAUUCGAAACUGUCGAGCUUGAGUGCGGGAGAGGGAAGCGGAAUUCCUGGUGUAGAGGUGAAAUUCGUAGAUAUCAGGAGGAACACCGGUGGCGAAAGCGGCUUCCUGGCCCGAUACUGACGCUCAUGUACGAAAGCGUGGGGAGCAAACAGG